UGGGGAAUUUUGCACAAUGGGGGAAACCCUGAUGCAGCGACGCCGCGUGAUUUAGAAGGCCUUCGGGUUGUAAAAAUCUUUUCUAUGGGAAGAAAAUGACAGUACCAUAGGAAUAAGGACCGGCUACUUACGUGCCAGCAGCCGCGGUAAUACGUAAGGUCCGAGCGUUGUCCGGAAUCAUUGGGCGUAAAGGGUACGUAGGCGGGUAAGCAAGUUAGAAGUGAAAUCCUAUAGCUCAACUAUAGUAAGCUUUUAAAACUGCUCAUCUUGAGGGAUGGAAGGGAAAGUGGAAUUCCUAGUGUAGCGGUGAAAUGCGCAGAUAUUAGGAGGAAUACCGGUGGCGAAGGCGACUUUCUGGCCAUAACCUGACGCUGAGGUACGAAAGCGUGGGUAGCAAACAGG
rnacentral:rRNA from 1 species